rnacentral:rRNA from 1 species
UACGUAGGGGGCAAGCGUUGUCCGGAUUUAUUGGGCGUAAAGAGCGUGUAGGCGGCCAGGUAGGUCCGUUGUGAAAACUCGAGGCUCAACCUCGAGACGUCGGCGGAAACCCUCUGGCUAGAGUCCGGAAGAGGAGAGUGGAAUUCCUGGUGUAGCGGUGAAAUGCGCAGAUAUCAGGAAGAACACCCGUGGCGAAGGCGGGUCUCUGGACAGUUCCUGACGCUGAGGCACGAAGGUCAGGGGAGCAAACGGG